AGAGUUUGAUCCUGGCUCAGAUUGAACGCUGGCGGCAUGCCUAACACAUGCAAGUCGAACGGCAGCACAGCAGAGCUUGCUCUGUGGGUGGCGAGUGGCGGACGGGUGAGUAAUGCAUCGGGACCUACCUCAACGUGGGGGAUAACGUAGGGAAACUUACGCUAAUACCGCAUACGUCCUACGGGAGAAAGCAGGGGACCUUCGGGCCUUGCGCGGUGAGACGGACCGAUGUUCGAUUAGCUAGUUGGUGAGGUAAUGGCUCACCAAGGCGACGAUCGAUAGCUGGUCUGAGAGGAUGAUCAGCCACACUGGAACUGAGACACGGUCCAGACUCCUACGGGAGGCAGCAGUGGGGAAUAUUGGACAAUGGGCGCAAGCCUGAUCCAGCAAUGCCGCGUGUGUGAAGAAGGCCUUCGGGUUGUAAAGCACUUUUAUCGGGAGCGAAAUACCAUUGGCUAAUAACCAGUGGGGCUGACGGUACCCGAGGAAUAAGCACCGGCUAACUUCGUGCCAGCAGCCGCGGUAAUACGAAGGGUGCAAGCGUUAAUCGGAAUUACUGGGCGUAAAGGGUGCGUAGGCGGUUUGUUAAGUCUGUCGUGAAAUCCCCGGGCUCAACCUGGGAAUGGCGAUGGAUACUGGCAAGCUAGAGUGUGUCAGAGGAUGGUGGAAUUUCCGGUGUAGCGGUGAAAUGCGUAGAGAUCGGAAGGAACAUCAGUGGCGAAGGCGGCCAUCUGGGACAACACUGACGCUGAAGCACGAAAGCGUGGGGGAGCAAACAGGAUUAGAUACCCUGGUAGUCC
rnacentral:rRNA from 1 species